GCAAACCUGAAAACUACCGUUGGAUCAAGAAAUGGACGUCCGAGAAUCGUCCACGUCACCAUAAGUUAAAAUUUAACUCGCAGAUUCACUCAUAAGUUAAAAUUUUACUAGCAGUUAAUUUUUAACUCAUAGUGACGUGGACGAAUCUCGGACGUCCAUUUCUCGAUCCAACGGUAGUUUCUAAGUUUCC
rnacentral:pre_miRNA from 1 species